ACACAAGCAGGGCUGAUUCCCUCCCAGGUCCUAUUUUUAAAAUUUUCUUCCAGAAAACAGUACUUUCUGAAAAAGUGACUGUUGAAGAAAAGUGGUAUGAACCUGGCAGAAGCCCAGCUCAUACUCCACAUCCUUGACCCAAGAAAGAGAAGAGUAAAUAUCAAAACCAAUGUUGGGUGAUAUAUUCCCAAGGGAUAUGUGGCUUCAUCUUGAGCAAGUUCUCUGACAGAGUACCAGCAGCAGAGGGAAGGAAAGCUUGGGGAGUCUCAAACUUGCAGUUCAAAGUUUCAGCAGGAAAAUGGAAACAGAACCUGAGGACAGACAACUUGCCAGGUCACAUAACAAGGAAAUGAAAGAAGUUGACUUGUUAUUAAAGAAACAAACAUGAUAUGCAAGACUCGGACAUUGUGCUGUACACCAGAGACUGAUACAUUGUAAUUGA